rnacentral:rRNA from 1 species
UACGAAGGGUGCAAGCGUUACUCGGAAUUACUGGGCGUAAAGCGUGCGUAGGUGGUUUGUUAAGUCUGAUGUGAAAGCCCUGGGCUCAACCUGGGAAUUGCAUUGGAUACUGGCAGGCUAGAGUGCGGUAGAGGGUAGUGGAAUUCCUGGUGUAGCGGUGGAAUGCGCAGAGAUCCGGAGGAACACCAAAGGCGAAGGCAGUGUCCUGGGGAGUACCUGACGCUCAGGUGCGAAAGCCAGGGGAGCGAACGGG